rnacentral:lncRNA from 1 species
UGUGUAUAUACGAUCGAUCAGGGGCAGAGGGUGAGGUGAAACCCUAGUUUCACCAAAAUCCAUCAAAUUGAAGGGGGAUUGAAGGGCUAAACUAAUGCAUGAACCAAGAUUGUCGAUCACUUUAGUGUUUCUACCAUCAUGUAAGAUCAUGUUUAAAGGGGAAAGCAUGGAAGGCAAACGGAAAAGGGAUGAGGAAGCAUGUAUGAAACGGACACUCGAGAUAUGUAGGUGCGUAUGAUCAGGCGUAUGAAUAUAUGAAUGCACGAAGUAGGAUUUAUCGUCUAUGAAAAGAAUGGGACAGGAAUGAGAACGUCAGACUCUUGUAGAAUUGAAGCCGAACCUUGAAGCCGAACUCGGAACAAAGGAAUCCGAGAGGAUAGUCGAAUGAAUCAAAGUUUAUGUUGUACUACACGGAUUUCUUCUACCACUAUCGAAGAUAAGCGGGCAUAGAUCGAGUCGAAUAACAAGGGUUGUACGGAAAGAACGGUUACGUGGUCUUAAUUUUGUAACACAUUAAUUUUAA